AGGAGCUACCCUUCCCUGCCUCCAGUGCCACGUGUCCAGGCCACGUGAGCAGGGCUUCAUGGGCCCGAGAUGGUGCUGGGGCUUCAGGGCUCUGCUCUC
rnacentral:pre_miRNA from 1 species